rnacentral:rRNA from 1 species
GAUCAUGGCUCAGAUUGAACGCUGGCGGCAUGCUUUACACAUGCAAGUCGAACGGUAACAGGUUAAGCUGACGAGUGGCGAACGGGUGAGUAAUGCAUCGGAACGUGCCCAGUCGUGGGGGAUAACGCAGGCGAAAGCUGUGCUAAUACCGCAUACGAUCUAUGGAUGAAAGCGGGGGACCGUAAGGCCUCGCGCGAUUGGAGCGGCCGAUGUCAGAUUAGCUAGUUGGUGGGGUAAAGGCCCACCAAGGCGACGAUCUGUAGCUGGUCUGAGAGGACGACCAGCCACACUGGAACUGAGACACGGUCCAGACUCCUACGGGAGGCAGCAGUGGGGAAUUUUGGACAAUGGGCGCAAGCCUGAUCCAGCAAUGCCGCGUGCAGGAAGAAGGCCUUCGGGUUGUAAACUGCUUUUGUACGGAACGAAACGGUCUGGGCUAAUACCCCGGGCUAAUGACGGUACCGUAAGAAUAAGCACCGGCUAACUACGUG